rnacentral:misc_RNA from 1 species
AACGCAUAUGGCACCUUUUGACGCUUGUGAAAAGGUAUGCCUGUUUGAGAAUCAUAUUCCACUAUUCAUUCCGUUCCUCUGUUGGUCACUGCACUCGUGUGGGGUGGUUGAUGGGAGCGACGGGAUGGCACACUUGGACCUUUAUCAUUGAUCGUCCUGAAUUCUGUGAUGGUUGACCGUGUUGGUAGAUGAGGAUGGAGAGUGGACGGCGUGCGUGUCAUGUCAUGUCGUGUCGUGUCAUGUGGUUCACUCGAUGUUCGUGUGCUUUGACACGUCAAGAAUGCAAACAGCAACAACAACCAUGAUCUCAAAUCAGGCAGGGCUACCCGCUGAACUUAA